rnacentral:tRNA from 1 species
GGGCGAUUAGCUCAGUUGGUUUAGAGCAUCUCGUUUACACCGAGAGGGUCGGGGGUUCGAAUCCCUCAUCGCCCACCA